rnacentral:snRNA from 1 species
GUGCUCGCUUUGGCAGCACAUAUACUAAAAUUUGAAUGAUACAGAGAAGAUUAGCAUGACCCCUGCGCAAGGAUGACAUGCAAAUUCGUGAAGUGUUCCAUAUAUAU